GUCCGAGUUGUAAUCUAGAGAAGUGCUUACCUGCACUGGACCAUGUAUAAGUCUCCUGGAAUGGAGCGUCACAGAGGGUGAGAAUCCCGUCUUUGACAUGGACUGCCAGUGUGUUGUGGUGUGCUCUCAAAGAGUCGAGUUGUUUGGGAAUGCAGCUCUAAAUGGGUGGUAAACUCCAUCUAAAGCUAAAUAUUGGCGAGAGACCGAUAGCGAACAAGUACCGUGAGGGAAAGAUGAAAAGGACUUUGGAAAGAGAGUUAAACAGUAUGUGAAAUUGUUGAAAGGGAAACGCUUGAAGUCAGUUAUGUUGGCUAGGGAUCAACCUAGCUGUCUUUUGCUGGGUGAAUUUCCUAGUCUGACAGGCCAACAUCAGUCUUGACUGCUGGAAAAGAGCAGAGGGAAUGUGGCACCUUCGGGUGUGUUAUAGCCCUUUGUCAUAUGUGGCGGUUGGGACUGAGGGAUGCAGCGUGCCGCGAGGCUGGGUUUCGACCACGUUCACGCUUAGGAUGUUGGCUUUUAAUGGUUUCAAUCGACCCGUCUUGAAACACGGACCAAGGAGUCUAACAUGCCUGCAAGUGUUUGGGUGGAAAACCCUUGCGCACAAUGAAAGUGAAAGUUGAGAUCCCUGUCAUGGGGAGCAUCGACGCCCGGACUUGAGCUUUUAGCGACGGAUCCGCGGUAGAGCAUGCAUGUUGGGACCCGAAAGAUGG
rnacentral:rRNA from 1 species